rnacentral:lncRNA from 1 species
AACCUGCUUUUACCACCCUUUAGUGGAUUAGGCAAUUCAUGUGUUUUACUUUUACAUAGUAUAUCGCUGUAAAAAUCAUAAAAAAAAGCUAAAGAUUAUCAUCGAGAUUUCGAAAAUAUGAUGAACAAAUUAACAGAAUUCAAUGUACGUUACUCAAAUUUAUAAUAUACAUCAGUUUAUAGUUUGAUGUCAGUUUAAAAAAUCUACAAUACCACUC